CCAAUGGGAAGCGGCGCUGCUUUGGCGCCCACUUUGAGCGGCGCGGCCAUCGGCGCCGUUCCCUCAGCGCUGCGCUGCCGCCAUGUUCGUCACCGACUGCCGCCAGCAGUUCUACGAUGUGAUCGUCAGCCAGAGGGUUCUUCUUCUUGUGGCCUCAGACGUUGAUGCGUUGUGUGCUUGUAAAAUACUCCAGGCUUUAUUUCAAUGUGAUCACGUGCAAUAUACACUAGUCCCUGUGUCUGGAUGGCAAGAACUUGAAACUGCCUUUCUUGAGCAUAAAGAUCAGUUCAAACACUUUGUUUUUAUUAACUGUGGUGCUAAUGUGGACCUGCUGGAGAUCUUGCAGCCUGAAGAAGACACUUAUUUUUUUGUGUGCGACAGCCACAGACCCAUCAAUGUAGUGAAUGUUUACAAUGAGACACAGAUUAAACUGUUAGUUAAACAAGACGACGAUCUCGAUGUUCCUGCUUAUGAUGAUAUCUUCAGAGAUGAAGAGGACGAAGAAGAGGACUCAGAGAAUGACAGCGAUGGCUCAGAACCGUCAGAUAAACGCAGGCGUUUUGAAGAGGAGGUAAUAGAGAGAACAAUGAAAAGGCGACAAAGGCGAGAAUGGGAGGCACGCAGACGUGAAAUUCUUUUUGAUUACGAGCAAUAUGAAUACCAUGGGACCUCAUCUGCGAUGGUGAUGUUUGAUCUGGCGUGGAUAAUGUCUAAAGAUUUGAAUGACAUGUUGUGGUGGGCAAUUGUUGGCCUAACAGAUCAGUGGGUCCAGGAUAAAAUUACUCAGAUGAAGUAUGUGACUGACAUUGGAGUCCUGCAGCGCCAUGUGUCUCGCCAUAACCACCGCAACGAGGAUGAGGAAAACUCCCUGUCAAUUGACUGCAUGCGAAUAGCAUUUGAAUACGAUCUGCGCCUGGCACUUUAUCAGCACUGGUCUCUGUAUGAAAGUCUCUGUAAUACUUCAUACACCUCUGCUAACCUUAAGCUUUGGUCAGUGCAAGGACAGAAGCGGCUGCAGGAGUUUUUGGCUGACAUGGGUUUGCCUUUGAAGCAAGUGAAACAGAAGUUUAAUUCUAUGGACAUGUCUUUGAAAGAAAAUCUUCGGGAAAUGAUAGAAGAAUCUGCAAAUAAGUUUGGAAUGAAGGAUUUAAGAGUUCAGACCUUUAGCAUUCAUUUUGGCUUCAAGAACAAGUUCUUAGCAAGUGAUAUAGUUUAUGCCACAGCUUCUCUCAUGGAGAGCAUAGAGAAAGAGGGGCCUGAAACAACUAAUUUCAUUAAAGCUUUGGACAGUCUCUCCAGGGGUAACCUGGACAAACUGCACCAGGGGCUGGACCUGGCCAAAAAGCAGUUACGUGCCAUUCAGCAGACAGUAGCCAGCUGCAUUUGCACCAACCUUGUUAUUUCCCAAGGGCCUUUUCUUUAUUGCUCUCUCAUGGAGGGUACGCCAGAUGUGAAACUGUUUUCCAAACCAGUAUCUCUGUGCCUGCUUAGUAAAUACUUGCUCAAAUCCUUUGUUUGCUCUACAAAAAACAAGCGCUGCAAAUUACUGCCACUGAUAAUGGCUGCUCCAAUGAAUGUUGAACAGGGAACGGUGAUCAUGGUGGGGAUUCCUCCAGAGACAGAAAGCUCUGACAAAAAGAACUUUUUUGGAAGAGCAUUUGAGAAAGCUGCUGAUAGUACCAAUUCUAGGACUUUACACAACCAUUUCGACAUGUCCAUAAUUGAAUUGAAAACAGAAGACAGGAGCAAAUUUCUGGAUGCACUCAUCUCUCUCUUGUCCUAAAGAAUGUUCUAACAGAACACAGCAAUUCCCAGAGAAAAUAAAGAGUGAAGAUUGUUUCAGAUUGUCUUCUGGCCUUGUUAUGCGGUGGUGCUUUGUGGUUCCUUGUGCUGGAAGCUGAGGAUCAGAUGCUCUGAAGAGGUUUCAGAUGUUCCAGACUUCGUAGUGCUGCGAUUAUGUCAUCUCGCUUUAUCUGAAAUGUUCCGAUACAGGCCUGGACUUUUGAUUUUGUGCUUUAGAGGUUAAAGGAUUUCUAACCCGAGCUCACAGAUGUUGGAUACUGCUUCUUUGUAAGGACUCAAUCCUUGUAAAGGCAAAGUGCCUCGAGUAGGAGAAUUUGUACAUGGUGUUUCUGUUCAUCAAACCUGCUUUUAUUAGUAGACAUGCGCCUUUGAUAUUUAGUGGUGGGCUACCAACAAAAAUAGGUUUUAAAUAAGUUCCAUAUUUAAAUGUUCCUUUAAAACUACCUUGAAUGUUUUAAAAUCCUUUUUAAAAUGACAUCUUGAAAAUCUUUUUUGGUGCUGUCAGGCUGAAGCCUUGUGCUUUGGUUGAAAUAGCUGUUUUGUGAGGCAAGUUUUAAGGUUUUAGGGAUUUGAAAUCUGUGUCAUGUACUAAGAAAUUGCCUGUUACCAGAUAAAAUCUGUGGAAUCCCAGUGCCAGCAGAGCGUUCUUAGUCAUGCAUUGUGAUGCUGUAUUGUCACCUGUAGACUAGCUUUGGCAAUAACUUUUCUGGGAAGAAUCUAAAACAGGAUGAUAACUGCGCGGACUGUAGCAUUGUAACUGUCAGCCUAGAUCUCUUCAGUUCCAUAACAGAAGCUCCAGUUCAUUUUAGUCGUAUGAGGUGGUGUUAUAUUCAGUCUUAUUUAGACUUAUCCUGCUGUACACUGGUGUACAUUGUAAAUGUUUGGAAUUGUUUUUCGUCUUGCAAUGCUUGCUUGAAUUCUGUAUGACUUCAAUGUAUUAUAAUGACUAUGUAAAGAGUAUAUAUCAUUACAUUGUACUUGGUACAGAUUUUUAUUACAAGUUUAUUUAAUACCAAAUGUGAUUUAGAUGUAGCCAGUGGAAAUCGAAUUAAACUAUAUAUUUUUAUCCAAACA